rnacentral:rRNA from 1 species
GGAUUAGAUACCCUAGUAUGAUAAAUGGGUAAAAUUAGUAUAUAAUGUGAAAAUUAAUAAGUUUGGCGGUUUUUUAUUGGUUAGAGGAGCUUGUUUUUGAAAAGUAGUAACUCUUUAUAUUUAUUUAAUUGUAGUAUAUUCAUCUCCGUUAUUAGAUUAAUUAAAUAUAAUUCAUUUUAGAAAAAAAUUUUUUUUUAUUUCAGGUCAAGAUGUAGCAUUAAUUGAAAUAGAAAUUAGCUAUUUGUAGAUUUAAUAUAUGGAUAUUAAAGGAAGAUACAAUUUGAAAGGGUUUAAAUUUGAUUGUAAUGCUAUCUAGGAAGAUAGAAUGAAUGUAAAUUAUAAUUAAUGUACAUAUUGCCCGUCACUUCUACUAGAAUUAGAAUAAGUCGUAACAUAGU